AGCGAACGCUGGCGGCAGGCCUAACACAUGCAAGUCGAACGAACUCUUCGGAGUUAGUGGCGGACGGGUGAGUAACACGUGGGAACGUGCCUUUUGGUUCGGAAUAACUCAGGGAAACUUGUGCUAAUACCUAAUGUGCCCUUCGGGGGAAAGAUUUAUCGCCAUUAGAGCGGCCCGCGUCUGAUUAGCUAGUUGGUGAGGUAACGGCUCACCAAGGCGACGAUCAGUAGCUGGUCUGAGAGGAUGACCAGCCACACUGGGACUGAGACACGGCCCAGACUCCUACGGGAGGCAGCAGUGGGGAAUCUUGCGCAAUGGGCGAAAGCCUGACGCAGCCAUGCCGCGUGAAUGAUGAAGGUCUUAGGAUUGUAAAAUUCUUUCACCGGGGACGAUAAUGACGGUACCCGGAGAAGAAGCCCCGGCUAACUUCGUG
rnacentral:rRNA from 1 species